GAUGAACGCUGGCGGCGUGCUUAACACAUGCAAGUCGAACGGAAAGGCCCUGCUUUUGUGGGGUGCUCGUUUGGCGAACGGGUGAGUAACACGUGAGUAUCCUGCCCUUGUCUUUGGGAUAACUUCACGAAACUGGGGCUAAUAUCCGAUAGGAUCUUCUGCAGCAUGGUGGUGGAUGGAAAGUUUCGGCGGUUGUGGCUGUACUGGCGGCAUAUGAGCUUGUUGGUGGAGUAGUGGCUUACCAAGGCUUCGACGGCUAGCCGGCCUGAGAGGGUGACCGGCCACAUUAGGACUGAGGGACGGAGCAGAAUCCUACGGGAGGCAGCAGUGGGAAAUAUUGCACAGUGGGCGGGAGCCUGAUGCAGCAGCGCCGCGUGCGGGAUGACGGCCUUCGGGUUGUAAACAGCUUUCGACGGUGACGAAGACUGCGUGACGGUAAUGGGUAAAGAAGCACCGGCUAACUACGUG
rnacentral:rRNA from 1 species